GACAGAUGGGAGCUUGCUCCCUGAUGUUAGCGGCGGACGGGUGAGUAACACGUGGGUAACCUGCCUGUAAGACUGGGAUAACUCCGGGAAACCGGGGCUAAUACCGGAUGGUUGUUUGAACCGCAUGGUUCAAACAUAAAAGGUGGCUUCGGCUACCACUUACAGAUGGACCCGCGGCGCAUUAGCUAGUUGGUGAGGUAACGGCUCACCAAGGCGACGAUGCGUAGCCGACCUGAGAGGGUGAUCGGCCACACUGGGACUGAGACACGGCCCAGACUCCUACGGGAGGCAGCAGUAGGGAAUCUUCCGCAAUGGACGAAAGUCUGACGGAGCAACGCCGCGUGAGUGAUGAAGGUUUUCGGAUCGUAAAGCUCUGUUGUUAGGGAAGAACAAGUACCGUUCGAAUAGGGCGGUACCUUGACGGUACCUAACCAGAAAGCCACGGCUAACUACGUGCCAGCAGCCGCGGUAAUACGUAGGUGGCAAGCGUUGUCCGGAAUUAUUGGGCGUAAAGGGCUCGCAGGCGGUUUCUUAAGUCUGAUGUGAAAGCCCCCGGCUCAACCGGGGAGGGUCAUUGGAAACUGGGGAACUUGAGUGCAGAAGAGGAGAGUGGAAUUCCACGUGUAGCGGUGAAAUGCGUAGAGAUGUGGAGGAACACCAGUGGCGAAGGCGACUCUCUGGUCUGUAACUGACGCUGAGGAGCGAAAGCGUGGGGAGCGAACAGGAUUAGAUACCCUGGUAGUCCACGCCGUAAACGAUGAGUGCUAAGUGUUAGG
rnacentral:rRNA from 1 species